rnacentral:rRNA from 1 species
CUACGGGACGCACCAGUGGGGAAUAUUGCACAAUGGGGGAAACCCUGAUGCAGCAACGCCGCGUGGAGGAUGACGCAUUUCGGUGUGUAAACUCCUUUUAUAUAGGAAGAUAAUGACGGUACUAUAUGAAUAAGCACCGGCUAACUCCGUGCCAGCAGCCGCGGUAAUACGGAGGGUGCAAGCGUUACUCGGAAUCACUGGGCGUAAAGCGCGCGCAGGCGGCCUUUUAAGUUGGAUGUGAAAGCCUAUGGCUUAACCAUAGAACUGCAUCCAAAACUAUCAGGCUAGAGUCUGGGAGGGGAAGAUGGAAUUAGUUGUGUAGGGGUAAAAUCCGUAGAGAUAACUAGGAAUACCAAAAGCGAAGGCGAUCUUCUGGAACAGUACUGACGCUGAGGCGCGAAAGCGUGGGGAGCAAACAGGAUUAGAUACCCCCGUAGUC